rnacentral:piRNA from 1 species
GAUCCAUUGGCUAUGUACAGCUGAAG